GGGCAACCUGCCCCCGGCUCUGGGAUAACUCCAAGAAAUUGGUGCUAAUACCGGAUAUUCACAUUCUCUCGCAUGGGGGUUUGUGGAAAGUUUUUCGGCUGGGGAUGGGCCCGCGGCCUAUCAGCUUGUUGGUGGGGUGAUGGCCUACCAAGGCGACGACGGGUAGCCGGCCUGAGAGGGUGACCGGCCACACUGGGACUGAGACACGGCCCAGACUCCUACGGGAGGCAGCAGUGGGGAAUAUUGCGCAAUGGGCGGAAGCCUGACGCAGCGACGCCGCGUGAGGGAUGACGGCCUUCGGGUUGUAAACCUCUUUCAGCAGGGACGAAGCGAAAGUGACGGUACCUGCAGAAGAAGCACCGGCCAACUACGUGCCAGCAGCCGCGGUAAUACGUAGGGUGCAAGCGUUGUCCGGAAUUAUUGGGCGUAAAGAGCUCGUAGGCGGUUUGUCGCGUCGGCUGUGAAAGCCCGGAGCUCAACUCCGGGUCUGCAGUCGAUACGGGCAGACUUGAGUGUUGCAGAGGAGACUGGAAUUCCUGGU
rnacentral:rRNA from 1 species